rnacentral:tRNA from 1 species
GGGGUUGUGGCUCAGUGGUAAAGCACUGUGCCUAGCACAUAAGAAGUGCUGAGUUUGAUCCUCAGCACCACA